UAUUCUAUAAAAAGCCACCAUCCAGUCUGAAUCAAUCAUUAGCAGGAGAGCUCCCAGUCCAUCUCUUUGGGUUACCCUUCGGCUGGAAUGAGGGCUACUUGGUAACUUUCAUGACAGCUUGCUUUUUAACGUGAUAAUCUCAGAGAAUCAUCUUUUGGGCAGCCGAAGCUUGCUGAAUCUUUAAUCUAGAGUUAAAGCAUGGGACAGUCAGCUGAGAUCACAGAAUGGGAGAACACCUUUGACUGCCAGACUUAUAGUUGGAAUCUCUAAACAACUCUAAAAAUGAAACGCUGAAAUCGUCGAAUCAACACAUGGGCAAACAGAGUUCAUAGCAUCUUGUAGAUUUGGCUCAUCUACGGAAGUAUUCUCAGCAGGAACAAGUUCAUUAGAAAAGCCCAGGGACGCCAAGGAACUGGACAUGCCCGAAACCCCAUUCUGGGUAAAUGGGGCAGCUUACACCCAGCUUUUGCCUGCGGAGCAGGUAUCCAAUGACGGGGACCCUAAAACUUGCCCGCACUCUUUAUGCUGCCACACCCAGCCGUAUAUGUGUCAAUCCUCCAGCUCUUGUGUCAGAACAUUUCUUACUUCAGGAGGUGUCCGGCCUCAGAAAAUGCUGCUCCAAAGUCCUUUGGAUGGAAUUGAAUGAGACCUAGAGGAUUCACAAGGAAUCUCCAUUUUGAAGAUGGUGGCAGAUUCAAGAUCAGAAGUCUCACAGAGAGGGCUCCUGCUGAACGCCUGGGAGAAGAAUAGACCAGAAGGAGGCUGGACACAGAGGCUGUGUGGGGCCACUCCAGCCUAUCACCAGGACACCUAAGCCUUCUGUCCAGUUGUGCUUUACACUGUCCUCCAGGCUUCCAAACAGUUUUCAUUGAGUCUUUGGAUGC
rnacentral:lncRNA from 1 species